rnacentral:tRNA from 1 species
AAGAAAGUGGCAGAGUGGUUGUGUGCUUGGCUUGAAACCAAGAUACGGGGGUUCGAUUCCUCCCUUUCUCG